rnacentral:rRNA from 1 species
GACGAACGCUGGCGGCGUGCCUAAUACAUGCAAGUCGAACGCAGUGGGGACGGGGGAGGAACACGUGGGUAACCUCCCAUCAGAGGGGAUAACACUUGGAAACUGGUGCUAAACCGAUACUGAUGGAUGGACCCGCGGUGCAGUAGCUAGUUGGUGAGGUAACGGCUCACCAAGGCGACGAUGCAUAGGCGACCUGCGAGGAUGAUCGGCCACAUGGGGACUGAGCAACGGCCAAGACUCCUACGGGAGGCAGCAGGAGGGAAUGUUCGGCAAUGGGCGAAAGUCUGACCGAGCCACGCCGCGUGAGUGAAGAAGGCAUUAGGAUUGUAAACCUCUUUAGGUAGAGAAGCGUUAUCCAACGAGAAAGCCACGGCUAACUACGUGCCAGCAGCCGCGGUAAUUC